GUGAAGAGCUGGGUCCUGCAGCUCCGGCGGGAGCCUCCUCAGUUCUUUUCGGACGCACUCCACCCCCGCGAAUCCGGUGGAAGCCGUGAUGCGGAGAGCCGGCUUCGUGGCCUCCCAGGCUUCGCUCUGACCCUGUCUGGGCUGGAUGGAGGCCGGACCGCCCUUCCUGGCGCCUGUGCAGAGAGGGGCAGCCUCCUGCGCGGACGACCCUGGAAACAGGAUAGACGGGCGGGUGACCCGUGACCCCGUACCCACGAGUUUGGGUCCCUUGAGGCAUCUCUCCAGGCCUCUGCCUGAUUUGCCUGAGGUUGACUGUACAUGCAAAUAUUGAGCUUUCCUCCUGGCCUCCGUGAUAAACAGAAGUUUUGAUAUUGUUAGGCGAGAUGGAAAGAAAGUAUCAAGGAGUGAGCUGAAGCCACUGCCCUUGAGAACCCUCUCGAGGAGUCUGGCCUCAUGAAGAUGCCAGAAUAAAUGGCAGUAAGAAGAAAAAGAGCAAAGAUAAGAAGAGAAAAAGAGAAGAUGAAGAAACCCAGCUUGAUAUGUUGGAAUCUGGUGAACAGUAACAAACUUUGGUGAAAUUUCAGGAACCAUAGCCAUUGAAGUGGAUGAGGGAACCUAUAUACAUGCACUCAACAAUGGUCUUUUUACCCUGGGAGCUCCACACAAAGAAGAAUCGCCCUGAAACCUGGCUAUGGAAAAUAUCUUAGUAUAAAUUCAGAUGAACUUGUUGUUGGCGUUCAGAUGCAAUUGGACCAAGAGAACAAUGGGAACCAGUCUUUCAAAAUGGUGCCUGUGCAGCAGUAUUCACUGUGAUAGGAAGUGAGAAGCAGUCUGAGUGUUCAUUGCUGAGGGAAUCAAGGGCAAAAUAUCAUGGAUGCACUCAUGGACAAAUAAGCAGCAGUUUGAAGCAACACCCUAGAUGGAUGUACAGCCAUCAAGAGGAUCUUAAAGUGUGGUCUUUAGUGGAA
rnacentral:lncRNA from 1 species